rnacentral:rRNA from 1 species
AAGACAACGACGAACGAAACCGUUACCAACCCUUCGACAUGGCAGGACGAGUUUCCAGAGAUGGAUCUCUUCUACUUCGGUGACCUGCACACAGGUGCUGCACGGCUGUCGUCAGCUCGUGUCGUGAGAUGUUGGGUUAAGUCCCGCAACGAGCGCAACCCUCGCCCCUAGUUGCCAUCAUUUAGUUGGGCACUCUAAGGGGACUGCCGGUGAUAAGCCGGAGGAAGGUGGGGAUGACGUCAAGUCUUCAUGGCCCUUACGGGUUGGGCUACACACGUGCUACAAUGGCGGUGACAGAGGGCAGCCACUUCGCGAGAAGGAGCUAAUCCCUAAAAGCCGUCUCAGUUCGGAUUGCACUCUGCAACUCGAGUGCAUGAAGUCGGAAUCGCUAGUAAUCGCAGAUCAGCACGCUGCGGUGAAUACGUUCCCGGGCCUU